rnacentral:rRNA from 1 species
AUUGAACGCUGGCGGAAUGCUUUACACAUGCAAGUCGAACGGCAGCACGGACUUCGGUCUGGUGGCAAGUGGCGAACGGGUGAGUAAUGUAUCGGAACGUGCCCAGUCGUGGGGGAUAACGUAGUGAAAAUUACGCUAAUACCGCAUACGAUCUAUGGAUGAAAGCGGGGGAUCGCAAGACCUCGCGCGAUUGGAGCGGCCGAUAUCAGAGUAGGUAGUUGGUGGGGUAAAGGCCCACCAAGCCAACGAUCUGUAGCUGGUCUGAGAGGACGACAAGCCACACUGGAACUGAGACACGGUCCAGACUCCUACGGGAGGCAGCAGUGGGGAAUUUUGGACAAUGGGCGAAAGCCUGAUCCAGCCAUUCCGCGUGCAGGAUGAAGGCCCUCGGGUUGUAAACUGCUUUUGUACAGAACGAAAAGGUUUCUACUAAUACUAGGAGCUCAUGACGGUACUGUAAGAAUAAGCACCGGCUAACUACGUGCCAGCCGCCGCGGUAA